rnacentral:rRNA from 1 species
GCUGAGGAUCCUACGGGAGGCAGCAGUGGGGAAUAUUGCACAAUGGGCGCAAGCCUGAUGCAGCCAUGCCGCGUGUAUGAAGAAGGCCUUCGGGUUGUAAAGUACUUUCAGCAGUGAGGAAGGUGGGUAUGUUAAUAGCAUACUCAUUUGACGUUAGCUGCAGAAGAAGCACCGGCUAACUCCGUGCCAGCAGCCGCGGUAAUACGGAGGGUGCGAGCGUUAAUCGGAAUUACUGGGCGUAAAGCGCAUGCAGGUGGUUUGUUAAGUCAGAUGUGAAAGCCCGGGGCUCAACCUCGGAAUUGCAUUUGAAACUGGCAAACUAGAGUACUGUAGAGGGGGUAGAAUUUCAGGUGUAGCGGUGAAAUGCGUAGAGAUCUGAAGGAAUACCGGUGGCGAAGGCGGCCCCCUGGACAGAUACUGACACUCAGAUGCGAAAGCGUGGGGAGCAAACAGGAUUAGAUACCCUGGUAG